rnacentral:ncRNA from 1 species
GCAGAGUAGACUUUGGCGCGUUAAGUGCCGCCGAGACGGGGAGUUGUUCGGCGGACGAAAGGGAGCGUUUCCCCUGCGGUGCCGUGGUCGCAUCCCGCUGC